AACCUUGGCAAUGUGCGAAAGCACGACCAGGUUAAUCCGAGUGGUUCCUGCUAAAGGAACCUUUUGUUAGUUUUAAAAGCACUAUCGAAUAAGGGGUGGGCAAGUUCUGGUGUCAGCCGCCGCGGUAAAACCAGCACCUCGAGUGGUCAGGAGGUUUAUUGGGCCUAAAGCAUCCGUAGCCGGCUGUUCAAGUCUUCGGUUAAAUCCAUUUGCUCAACAGAUGGGCCGCUGGAGAUACUAUACAGCUAGGGAGUGGAAGAGGUGGAUGGUACUCGAUGGGAAGGGGUAAAAUCCUUUGAUCCAUUGAAGACCACCUGUGGCGAAGGCGGUCCACCAGAACAUGUUCGACGGUGAGGGAUGAAAGCUGGGGGAGCAAACCGGAUUAGAUACCCGGGUAGUCCCAGCUGUAAACGAUGCAAACUCAGUGUUGCAUUGGCAUGUAGCCAAUGCAGUGCCGCAGGGAAGCCGUUAAGUUUGCCGCCUGGGAAGUACGUUCGCAAGAAUGAAACUUAAAGGAAUUGGCGGGGGAGCAC
rnacentral:rRNA from 1 species